rnacentral:rRNA from 1 species
GACAGAGGGUGCAAACGUUGUUCGGAAUUACUGGGCGUAAAGAGCGUGUAGGCGGCCAUCUAAGUCGGGCGUGAAAUCCCACGGCUCAACCGUGGAAGUGCACUCGAAACUGGAUGGCUAGAGUCCUGGAGAGGAAGGUGGAAUGCUUGGUGUAGAGGUGAAAUUCGUAGAUAUCAAGCGGAACACCGGUGGCGAAGGCGGCCCUCUGGACAUGGACUGACGCUGAGACGCGAAAGCGUGGGUAGCAAACAGG